GGUCUUAUAGUUUAAUAUUAAAAAUGUUAAGUUGCAAACUUAGAGAAAUUACCUUGUAAGGUGUUGAGACUU
rnacentral:tRNA from 1 species